rnacentral:misc_RNA from 1 species
GAAGUCGUAACAAGGUUUCCGUAGGUGAACCUGCGGAAGGAUCAUUAAUGAGUUGUCAUGGGGUUCGAUGCUGGCAGCCAAUUUUUGGAUGCAUGUGCUUGCCCUAACAAUCAUCUUCCAAACACCUGUGCACAUUUUUGAGGGAGUCUUGAGUUGGUUGCCGCUCUUGGGUGAUUUUCUCACAUUCCCUUAAAUCAUUAUACGCUAUUAACAAUGUUGAACGUGCUCUGUGCCGCAAGGCUAUUAAUAUAAUACAACUUUUAACAACGGAUCUCUUGGCUCUC